GUCUUUUAGUAAAUAAUUUAAAGUCUAAUCUGCCCACUGAUAUAAUUAUAUUGAAGGGCUGCAGUAUAUUGACUGUACAAAGGUAGCAUAAUCAUUAGUCUUUUAAAUGAAGACUUGUAUGAAAGAUUUGAUGAAAUAUAAACUGUCUCUUAAUUAAAUAAUAAAAUUUUAUUUUUUAGUAAAAAAGCUAAAAUUUAUUUAAAAGACGAGAAGACCCUAUAGAGUUUUAUAAUUAUUUUAUUUAAAAUUAAAUAUUUAAUUUAUUAUUAAAAAUAAAAUAAUUAUUAUAUUGGGGUGAUAGAAAAAUUUAUAAAACUUUUUUUAAAAAUUAAACAUUAAUAAAUGAUUAUAUGAUCCAUUAAUAAUGAUUAUAAGAAAAAAUUACCUUAGGGAUAACAGCGUAAUAUUUUUUUUUAGUUCAAAUAAAAAAAAAAGUUUGCGACCUCGAUGUUGGAUUAAGAUAAAAUUUAAAUGCAAAAGUUUAAAAUUUUGAUCUGUUCGAUCAUUAAAAUCUU
rnacentral:rRNA from 1 species